AUAGCCUUUCGAAAGAGAGAUUAAUAACCCCGUAAUAAAUUGAACGGCAUCGUUUGAUUUGAAAGCUCCGGCGGUUUGAGAUGAGUAUGCGUCUGAUUAGCUAGUUGGUGAGGUAACGGCUCACCAAGGCGACGAUCAGUAGGGGACCUGAGAGGACUAACCCCCACACUGGUACUGAGACACGGACCAGACUCCUACGGGAGGCAGCAGUAAGGAAUAUUGGUCAAUGGAGGCAACUCUGAACCAGCCAUGCCGCGUGCAGGAUGACGGCCCUAUGGGUUGUAAACUGCUUUUAUACAAGAGAAAACCCUGGUACGUGUACCAAGUUGAUAGUAUUGUAAGAAUAAGCAUCGGCUAACUUCGUG
rnacentral:rRNA from 1 species